CAGCCAGGGUGAUGGGAGGGAGAAGGGCAGGGCUCUCACAGGGAAGGAAUGGGAGGAGAGCCCUUUAGCUCCGCCAGAAUCGGAAUACAGGAGCCAGCAGCCCUGCGCUGCUGACCCCAAGGCUGGACCUCCGCGGCGGUGGGAGCCCGAAUCGCAGGCAGGUUGCGCCCCAGCAAAGGGAGCCCAGGGGCUGGAGAUGCCGCCUCUGAAACAGGAAGAGGGGCCUUCGCGCCUGUCCUCCUAGUCCUUAAGCCACUGGUCAGUCGGGGCGUGGCUUCAAGGUUGGACUUUGACCUUCAUGAGGCAACUUGGCCAGGAUGACCUGUCCUGCUGUGGAGCCUCCUAGGACUGCUGGUGAUCGGGGGAGCGUCAAGGUGAGGGGGAGAGUAGAGCCGGCGCCCACGGGAGGGCUCAACGUGGGAUGCUUCAACUUCACGGUGGCACCAGAGCUGCCUCUUCCAAGGUGACCCGCCCGAGACAGCCAACACUUUAUGACAAAAUAGGGUUGGGGCUGGGCGGUGCUGGCAGCUGUGGGUGGCUGUGGUGGCUGUGUCGAAGGCAGGCGAGGUGGGGCCGUGAUCAUCACCGGUGAGCUGCAUCACACACGUGUCCCACUAAUGUGGGCUUGUCAGGACGCCCCCACCGUGAGUCGAGCCGAAUGACCUGGACUGAGUUAACCGAGUCCACUCCAUUUCCUCGGCUGAGGACCUCGCUGCUGUCCUGGACCACAUCUCCAACUGCGGCCGGCUGCGUCCCCCAGUCAGCUCCUGCGAGGUCUGAGAAGGUCACUAGGCACCACUUAGUGCUCCAGCCGUGCCUGUGGCCAGCCUGGGAGGCGCAGGGGCCACAGGCAGCAUCAGCAGGCGGGUCAGCAGGAGGGUCAGCAGGAGGGGCGUUAUGUUUAGAUGUGAGUGUACCCCGAAAGAUCACAUGUGAGACAGUGCAGGAGAGUUUGGAGGAGACAUGUCCAGGUUACAGCCUUAGCCUGAUCAGAGUUCACCCCGAGGGGAUUAACCGAGUGGUGGGGUGUGGCUGCGGAGGUGGGGACUGGGGCGUGGCUUUGGGUACAUGUUUGUGGCUCUCUCUGCUUCUUGAUCACCCUGAUGUCAGCUGCUUCCCUGGGCCACACACUCUGCCGUGACGUUCAGCCUCACCUCGAGCCCCGAGGAAUGGAGCCAGCCUUCCAUGGACUAAGGCCUCCGAGCCCGUGAGCCCUCAAAUAAACUCUUCCUCCUCUACAGUUGUUCUGGUCAGAUCCUUGAGUCCCAGCAGUGAAAAAGCUGACCGAAACAAGGGGUCAUCAGGUGGGGUCAGCAGGAGCGGUCAGCAGGAAGGGGUCAGCAGGAGGGGUCAUCAGGUGGUCUCCCGUGUGCUUUGCACGUACUACUGGUGGGGUCCUUAAUCAGCCUUGUCCUGUGGACGCAGGUGGCAAAACCGAGGACAAGAGAGGGUAAGUGACUUGGCUGAGGUCCCGCGGCAAUGGGUGACAGAGCCAGGAUCCAGACCCUGCCACACUGCCUCCCUCCGCUGUCCGCCCCUGGAGCCCUGGGGCUGAAUUUCCCUGCCGGGACCCUGGCUGCCCCAGGACUCUCAGGAGGCUGCCCUCUUGGCACUUCCCUCCUGCCGGUCACUCUGCUGGCCCUCGAGCCUCAGUCACUGCCUCCUGCGGCCGUCUCUGACCCCUCUGCAGUCUGGAGCACGUCCUGGCUCUUGCUUCCCAGGGGUCGGCCACGCGCCCUCUGCAGGCCUGUUCCUCGCGGGGCCCAGCGGCGCAGCCCGGUGCUUUCCCUUUAAGCUGGUCUAACCUGGGCUCAGCCUGGGCCUCUCUCAGUCUCGAGGAGCAGCUUGCCCUUCCCGUCUCCUUCCCCUGGUGUCUGUCUGGUGCUUUUCCUCCGCGGCCGCCCGUCUGGCUUCUGGAACCUUCUGUUCUGCGUCCCACUGCACCAGCCUCCUGUCACCUUCCUCCUCCCACAGCCGCCGUUCCCAGGGGAAUUCCAAGGCACAGUCUCAGGCUACGCCAUUCCCUCUGCGCCCAGAGACGGAAGGUCCCUGCGCAGUGGGCAGCGCAGCCCCUGGGCCUUGGGAAUCGAAAGCCAGGAUCAGAAUUUAUGUGACUAAUGACCCAGGGUCCCUGGAGACCCUCGGCUGGGGUGACUGGUAAGUACCCCCCAGUUCAGGGUUCAAGGUCAGCGUUUCACAGCUGCUUCUCUUGGCCUUGAAGGCAACUGGAAAUGAGGGGAGAGAGAGGGAGAAAGGGGAGGAGAGUGGGGACGGCCGGGGAGGGAGGGGUGCUCUGGCCAGCUGACCAGUCCCUGCCCACGGUGCUGGACCCUGACCCCUUGAAGCGGAGCCUUGUCCCGGCUUUUGGCACCGGCAGAACCCAGUGACUUCAGCAGUUUUGAGUUCCGCCUCCUUUGCCAGCUGGCCUCCGGAGAAACGGUGAAAAGCAGCCAGAACGGGGUUCUGUUCCCUUAAAGCCCACGCACCCAGGACUCCGUUCCCCGAGCCGGGCCUGCAGAAAUGGCCCAUCAGCUGUCAGUCGGCCCAGGCUGGGCUUGCUAAACAGCACAGGCCCCAGGGUGUGCCUCCAGGGCCGCAGCCAUGGGCCAAGGCACCAUCCCGCAGAGCCCAGCGCACUCACCCCAGGCCCUGGGGCCCCCCGGGCUGCAGGACGCCACGGUUUCCCCAGAGGAGGAAACCAGGAGUGCGGUGGGUCCCAAGGCCUCCGGUCACCUGCUCGGGCCUGCACCCCGGGAUCUCCAUGGUACCUGUGCCCCCAGCUUCCCGUCUUAGUCUCACGUAUUCCUGAAUUUGACUUCACUUCUGUGGGCUGUUGGAGGAGGUGACCACGGCCCUCUCUGGGGGACAUGUUGGUCUCCCUGGCCCCCGGCCUAGAGCUGUGCCCCUAAGUGCACCGCCCCUGGAGGGGGUCAGGACCUCCCUCUGCAGGCCGGGUGGGGGCGGGACACCUCGUCCGCAUGCUCUUCUGUGCUGGGCUGAAUCGUGACCCCACUGGACGCCCACAUCCCUGGCACCUGUGAGCUGGUCACCUCACAGGCAGAGACUCUGCAGGUGGGGUUAAGUCCAGGAGCCUGAGAUGGGGAGGUCAUCCUGGGUCACCCUGUGGGCCCAAGUAUCCCCAGGGUCCUUCUAAGAGGGGCACAGGAGGGUCACAGCCCGGGAAGAUGUGCGGAUGGGGCUGAGGCCCAGGGGCUGGGGACGGGCUGGUGCGGGCAGCCUCUAGAAGCUGCGAAAGGCCAAGGAGUUCCAGCCCUCCCCGGGAGCCUCGGGUCUGCCGGCUCGCCUCGGAUUUCUGCUCUCCAGAACUGUAAGAUAAUAAGUCUGUGUGGACUCCAGCCUUGUCAUUUACAGUAAUUUGUUCCGGCAGGGCUGAGACUCUAAAGCACAACUCCGCCGUCAGCCGGGGAAAGAGGCCAGGAAGGUCACGGGGCCUCCCCACGGAGAGGACCGAGAGACGGAAGGGAGGGUGCUCAGAGGGACACCGAAGCCCUGCAGUGUGGCUCCCGGCCUCUGCUCUGCUGGCCCGCUGCAGCUGGCCUUGGGGGGAAGCGGAGCCCAGAGCAGCACGGGGCUUGGGGAGGAGGCGGGCUCUCCUUGUCACAAGGUCACGAAGACCGGACAGCGCCCUGUGCUGCAUUCAGCUAUCGCCUCCUCAUUAUUCAUCCUGACCUCUUUCUGCCUCUCGAUAGCGCGAGUGAGUUCACACCAUAACUCGCCCUGCCCACUGAGCAGGGCAUGGCUCCCAGGGACAGCAGGACAUAUACAGGAUCCAGGUUCAAGCUCGGCCCCACCGACCCUGCUGGCCACCCUGCUCUGUCCACACACCUGGCCACUGGGGAGCAGAGAGGGUACAGCGUGGGCUCAAGGCGCUGACCAGCACUGAGGAGCCUUCUGCUGGCUGGAAGUAGCCCUUCAACUCGCCCCAGGAGAGGGUCCUCAAUCCUGGCACUGCAGACCCUCAGUGGGCUAGGUCCUCGAGCCCUCUGCCCACUCUGCCCAUCCUCACGCCUGACCGGCUGUCCUCAUCUGCACUUUCCCUUUCUUGGGUCUGUGUCUGCUUUGCAAGUGGGUGCCUGGGUGGCCCAGGUCUGGCCCAGCAGCCGCUAAACAGAGAAGUGUCAAGAGCCGUCCCCAGAGCAGGAAGCACAGAGACCCGUGUGCCGCCCCUCUGCUGCCCUGCCAGGGCCACUCUUGGUCUUCGCGGCACACGCGGCUCACCCCGGAAUCUUGUUAAAAUGCAGAGUCUCGUUUAGGAGGGCUGGGCUCGGGGCUGUGUGUUUUAUUUCCAGUGCUGCAUUCUCCCCUAUUUAUCUUUUACCUGGAAACGAAGUCACGUAGACCAUGCCUGUGUGUGUACAGGCACAGAGAUCUAGCUUCACGGCCUGCUGCAAUGUUUCCAUACACACUCGGUUUGCAGAAUGGCUAAUCAAGCUGAUUAACAACGUCUGGGCUGGUGCCUGCAUAGGUCCCGGACCCCUGUGCGAGUGAUAGCAUCCCAGAGAGAUUGGAGGUGGGUCUCUGUCACCCUGGGACCUGGAGCACAGGUAGUGCUGCAAAGGAGUCAGUAGAACCUGGCUGGGUGUGGGGUGCGUGGCUGUGUGACGCUGGGGCUGGUGCCACAGGUACUCACCCUAAGACAGGAGGCCCUUCCUCUGUGUGAGGCCGAGGAGCCCGCUUGGCUGAGAUGGGUGCUUAUCCCCUGGCCCAGAUCACAGAGGCUCACCAGUGUUGGUCCCCGUCCCUUGUCCCCAACAUGCCCACGGCUCCACUGGACACGUGGAGGCCCACCUGGUCCUGUGAACUUCCUGACCUUCCUGUGCUGGGCAGUUCUGAGAAUGUUGCUGGACUCUUCUAAGCCAGUUUCUUUAUCCCUGAACCGUUGCUGCUGUUCCCUGUCAGUUGCCGUGGGGACCAGGGAAGUGGGGGAUGCGGGGUGCUGGGCGGGGCGUCGCCUGCCUGUUGUGCAUCAGCAGUUCCUGUGGAACGUCUCGCCCCCUGGACCCUGACCUAGCAUUCCAGACCUCGGUCACCUCCAGGGAGGGCCCAGGGUGGGUGGGUAUCUUUCCCACACACUUGCCCAGCAGGGGCCUGCAGGGGGCUCCUGAGGCUGCACCCCGCACCCAGCACCUCACCAGGCACCGAGUGACCUUGGCUACAGGGUAGAGACGGGAAGAGGCGAUGGCUGGGCUGGGGCCCUCGUGACUUAAGGGGUUCACCAAGCAGCCCCCAGAGGAGGGGAAGCAGGAGCCCAGGCCCUCGGCUCAGUUUCAAAGCUAAAUUGAAGGGACACGGGUUAAAGGGACUCCCGGGCUCCCUUCUGGUCGGACCCACUGACUCCCCAAGGCAGGGAAGUGGAUCGAGACCUUGGGGACUGCCUAGAAAGGCAAGUGGAUGCUGGCCCUCAGGUCUGUGCCAGGCCGGGGGUCCAAUGUGUCAGGCACCAUAGAACCGGGGAUCUGGUUCUUCCUUCUGAUACCAGGAGGAAGGAAAAGUUCCCCGGCAACCCCCUGUCCAUCCCUCAAGAUCCAGUUCUGGUUGCCCUUCCUCACCCUCAUACACGGGGCCCUCUGCAUUUCCCAGACCAACUCAGGUCAAAUUAGCUGCCCACAUGUCUGUGUCCCCUACCACCCCAAGGGCCCCCAAAGCCCCUAGAGGACUAGGGAAGAGACUCUGGGUUGUUUACCUUGAAGGGCCUGGAGAUUAGAAGGUAGUAGUUGCUUAAUUAACAUCCGAGUGAGCAGAUGCUGCUUGGUGCCCAUCAUCUUCUCCCUGAAGGUACCAGGAGGCUCCUUCUUUUGUGUGCCUUCCACUGAGCAGCUUCACAAAAGCCCCAAGCCCUGUCCCCUCUGGCCCCUGGAUGACCGGCCCACUCUCCUGGCCCUGGACGUGUGGGGCUGGGCCCUCAGGAGUCUGCCCUGGCCUCGCUGGAAGGCACCUGUGGCUGUGGCGGCCGCGGAGCGUGUCUGGGAUUGAUUUCUGUCCUCAUGAUCUAGGCUGCAAUUGAUCUCUCAGGUAGAGGCUGUGCACUUAAUGAAGUGAGGGCUGCUCAGCUCCAUCCGAGACAGGAUUCCGCGCAAGGACAAUCGCCCUUCUGGUGACAGCUUCUCUCUUUUAAAAAUAAAUAAAAUGCAAUGAAAAUAACUCAGCUGACGAGGUGGCGCAGCAAGCAGGAGGACGUUCAGGAUUUGAUUUCCCCUACCUGAGCCCUAAGAUCUCCACACAGGGAGACGCUUCCCCGGGACACUCAGGCUUCCUUGAGACGAGGCGCAUGCAGCUCUGCUCUCCUGCAGGGACCCUUGGGCUUGCAGGUGGCCCACCUUCCUGGAAGGCCACCCGGCUGCCCUCGGGCGCUCUGUCCGGGGCCGUGGGACCUCCAGGCUGGCCGCAGUUGAAAUGAACGUGUUGGGAUGUCAGUGGUCAGACCCGCCCAGCUCCAGGUGGAGGAGCACCCGUGUCCCCUGGAUGUGCUUCCAUGAACACCUACUUGAAGUCGGUCCCUGAACCCAGUGACCAGCCACCGUUCCUGUGACCCACUGCCCCUUUUUCUGGGGAUUUUCCAGGCUUCCAUGUUGAAAGUCCCACAUGGCAGGAGGAUCCUUGUUUCCAGGCAAACUGGGAGAGCGGGUCACCCCAGCUGAGACGGCACAAGACUUUGCAGCUGUGGGAGGGGGUGGGGGAGAGCUGCGGGUGGCCCUCGAAGAGCAGGACAGAGGAGGGCAGCGCCCCCUCCUACCUCUGCUGUGGCUGUGCAUUUAAAGACUCGGGUUGUGUAAGGCCACGCGGCUCACGGGGGAGAGCGAGGCAGGCGUGACAGCACCGGUCACCUGGGGAGGGACAUCCAGGGACAGGACUCCCGUGAAGGGUCCCCCAGCUCUGGCUUUGGGCUCCACCACUGUGCACAGGUGUCACGUUGCCUAGGGGACAGAGCUGCCAGGCCUGUCCUGCUCCCACGGCUGUCCCUGGGGUCUUCCGAGCCUGGAGGUCUCCUCUGCACAGCGUCCUGCCCCAGGACUGCAUCUGACCGGGGGCAGCAAGGAGGAGGUGCUGUGUCCUCCCUGUCCCCAUGUCCCAGCAGCUCGGCCUGCUGCCAGUGUCCUUCAUCAUGGGAGGAGCACAGCCUGUGUGGCCUGGGACCUGUUGGGAGAACUGGCUGUGGACAUGUGCAAGGAAGUCCUGGGCAAAAUGGGCCAAGCUGGUCACCUCAUGCAGUUCCUACAGAUGAAGAAACAGAUGGUCAGAGAAGCCUCCAGCCGCCUGAUUCCUAAGUCUGUGCUGCUCAUGGUGUCUCUUGGCUGAGGGAACGGUCGCUCGAUGAGAUAAUGCAGAUAGGAUUUUUAAAAAGCGUAAGUUCAAUUUAAACAGCAGCACAGCAGACGCGCAGCGGCCCGGCCUGCUACGGGAGGUUGCUAGAAGCCACUGUCCCCUUCCUGAGUCUGGGUCCGUAAUACUCCAUUAGCUGAGCCUCCAGGAGAACACAGGUCAGGGAGCCCAUCAGGUGGCGCUCACCCGAGAUACGGUCCUCAGGAGGCCCGAGGCCGCUCAGCAGCCUCCGCUUCACAAGGCAGCAGGGCCCGCUGGGUGGGACGGAGGGAUCCCUGGAUUCAGGUCUGGAUGCCCGAAUGGGGACUAGAGAGUCACCUGCGGAAGGAGCCCGUAGCCCAGCCCAGGGCGGAGAGGAGGCUACGUUCCCUGAGGAUUUCUGUGUGAAUGUCCUGCUGCGGAGAUUGCAAACCCCAGACUUAGUCACAGCUGCGUGACUCGGGGGUCAGAGGUCCAGAGUGGUCUGCGGGCUGGAGUGUCUGGAGCGUUGACCGGGGGCUCCUUCUGCAGCUCCAGGGCUGCCCGUCACCUGCCUUUCCAGUGGCCCCCGUGGUCCUGGCUCAUGGCUGCUGCCUCCCCUGGAGGCCUGUGGUGGCCUGUCCUGCUGCCAUCUCCUGUUCUGACUCGCCUGCCCCUUCCAUCUCCAGGGAGCCUUGUGACCACUGGGCCCACCCGGUCAUCCACAGUCCCCCAGUUCAAGGUCAGCUGCUUCAAGGUCAGCCGGUUCCUGACCUUAAUUCCGUUUGCACCCUGAAGCCCCCUGUGGUGGAGCCCGACACCCUCCCGGGUUCUGAGGCUUAGGAUGUGGAUAUCUGGGGCUCAUUGUUCUGCUGACCACGAUGCCGACGUUCUGCCUCAGAACAGCGAUGCUCUUUAGGUCACUUGCUUUUCUAUUUAUCUAUCUUUUAAUUUCGAAGAGAAGACGCACAGAAGGAGCGGGACCUGCCAACCUGGGGUUGGGUCCCACAGGACCCUGGUCACUGCUCAGGCCUGGUCUGUGCUGCUUAGCCUCUGGGCUGCAGGUGGCUGCUCCUUCAUCAAGAACCAAGUCCUUGGUCCUGUCUGCCCCGCAGUGUCACCUGGGGGUGGGGGACAGAUCAAAGACGGAGAGAAGGAAACGCUUCCGAAUUGCAGACGCCCUGAGGUGCGCUGUGGUUGUGCCCAGUUUCGUGGGUCGAUCCCAAGCCUGAGUCCAAGCUGCACCCCUCAGGAGCACGUCCGGGUCCCUGGAAUGCGCUUGCCACCUGCCCCUCCAAAUCCCAGGACCAGCACGGAGUUGUCGGAACAAUGACCUUGGGAGGAGAACUGGCUUCACCCGAAGCCCGUGCCUUGGUGUGGCUGGGGACACCGGCCUGCUCAUUGCCAGGCGCUCAGCCACUCGGCCUCUGUCCCUUUGCCUCCGACUUGGUCUGAAACUCGAGUCCAGGGGACGCCCGUGGUGAGCAGGGGCACCCGGGAGCCCCAUCGCGAUACAGAAUGUGCCGGCACCUGACGCCCCUCCUGCCCCCCACCCCACACACAGCAGACUGACUUCUUAAACCGAGUUCUGUUCCUCGGCUCCAGGAGGUCACGGAACCAGGAGUUCCGCCCUCUGGCCCCCGGCUGCUGUCCCCCCGCCAUGUCGAGCUCCAUCUGUGCUGUGAGCUCUGUCUUCAUGCCACCGAGGUCCUCCCUGGUGUGACUGUGCCCUCUCUGCCCUCCUCCUGAUGGGCUCUGGGGAGGUUUCCCAUGUGGGGGAGUGAGAAAUAAAGACACAAUGGAUAUUUUUGUUUUUAAAAAGAACAGAGAGCGAGGAGAGUUUGGGUUCCCUGUGUGACACCCACGUUCCUUGGCUCCUAAAAGGGCCACCAGCGGUCCCUAAAGGGGGACAACCAGCACGGGUGCUGUGCCCGCCCGGCAGCCGCUGUGCCCAAGGCGAGCCCCCACACUCUGGCCUGCAGCUUGGUCCAGGCCGGCCUGUGCCCAACACCCUGUCCUU